rnacentral:rRNA from 1 species
UACGUAGGGGGCAAGCGUUGUCCGGAAUUAUUGGGCGUAAAGAGCGCGUAGGCGGUCCGGUAAGUCGGUUGUGAAAGUCGGGGGCUCAACCCUCGGAUGCCGAUCGAUACUGUCGGGCUAGAGUCCGGAAGAGGCGAGUGGAAUUCCUGGUGUAGCGGUGAAAUGCGCAGAUAUCAGGAGGAACACCGGUGGCGAAGGCGGGAUCCUGGGCCAGUACUGACGCUGAGGAGCGAAAGCGUGGGGAGCAAACAGG